ACUCCUACGGGAGGCAGCAGUAGGGAAUCUUCCACAAUGGGCGCAAGCCUGAUGGAGCAACACCGCGUGAGUGAAGAAGGGUUUCGGCUCGUAAAGCUCUGUUGUUAAAGAAGAACACGUAUGAGAGUAACUGUUCAUACGUUGACGGUAUUUAACCAGAAAGUCACGGCUAACUACGUGCCAGCAGCCGCGGUAAUACGUAGGUGGCAAGCGUUAUCCGGAUUUAUUGGGCGUAAAGAGAGUGCAGGCGGUUUUCUAAGUCUGAUGUGAAAGCCUUCGGCUUAACCGGAGAAGUGCAUCGGAAACUGGAUAACUUGAGUGCAGAAGAGGUAGUGGAACUCCAUGUGUAGCGGUGGAAUGCGUAGAUAUAUGGAAGAACACCAGUGGCGAAGGCGGCUACCUGGUCUGCAACUGACGCUGAGACUCGAAAGCAUGGGUAGCGAACAGGAUUAGAUACCCCUGGUAGCGACUGA
rnacentral:rRNA from 1 species